UGGUAGAAUUUAAACAAAGCAGAAAAUAGAAGAAAGAUGAGGGCCUAAUGCCCAUACAGCCCUUAGUCUAGGCUCCCAUGGACUCCAGAGGCCUGGCAAGCCCAGCCUUGCCUUGUAAGUGACAUGAGUCCCUGACCCCAAGCUAGUCAGAGGGAAGUGCAGCCAGAAGGGGUGGCUCUAUUUGUCCCUUUCUCCCCCAGGAACACCUGCUCCCCCGGCCAUCAGCCAGAACCCUUGGGAGGCUGGAGUAAUGAAAAGACAGGCGCAAAUCACAGGGGUCUCCAAGGAAGGUGGGAUACUGGUAGGGUCCCAUGAAUGUCUUUAGUGGCUGCGCGGGCUCUGGGAAGGGGAUGCCUAAUACCUCCAACAGUGAGUCCCAGCCUCUCCAUAAGCUCUAUGACAUGUUGACAGGAGGAUCACAUCCCGCUGUCCCUUGGUGGUCAGAGGACUGUUACAUGUAGCUGAUGUGGGCCAUGGAGGCAAGGCCUGUGCUGACUCUCUAGGCCUGUUUUGAUGACCUCAUGUCGAGGAGGUGUGAUCCAGGUAACGUCAAGCAGACGCAGUAAUCAGAGGACCCUGAGGCCUGCUGGUCCAGGAGGUGCCUGAACUCAGCAGCAUCCCAAGUAGUGAGGAGGGGAAGUGAGGAGAGCAGGGUCUCUCUCCCGGAGGCUGACCUUGCCUGAGCUAGAGGAGAGUCGCCAAAGGGACUACCCAUGUGCUGUUGAGCUGGGUCUGUUUAUAAAAACUGGGUGGUUUUACAUUUGACCUUGAAUUUACAUUUGGCCUUAAUAUGGGCCGCAAUGUCCUCCUCUAUGUUUUUUGGUUUUUUUUCACUUCUCCAACAGAUUUAUUUUUGAAAGGAAUGGAUUUUGAGGAGGAAAAACAUGGGGUAGAGAUAUGGAAUAGAAAAUAAAUACAAAUGUAAGCUGUUUUGCUAAUUGUUUUAUAACCACAACAAAUUCGUACAGAGAAUGCCCUGUACAAAACAACACAACAAAGGUUCAAAGAUCGAGAUCGGAACAGCACAUG